rnacentral:rRNA from 1 species
CGCUGGCGGCGUGCCUAACACAUGCAAGUCGAACGGAGUGCAGACGCUGAAGAUCAAAGUAGCUUGCUAUAGAGAGAUUCUUGUUUGUACUUAGUGGCGGACGGGUGAGUAACGCGUGGAAAACCUGCCUCAUACAGGGGGAUAACAGGAAGAAAUUCCUGCUAAUACCGCAUGAGCGCACACUGUCGCAUGGCAGAGUGUGAAAAGAUUUAUCGGUAUGAGAUGGUUCCGCGUCUGAUUAGCCAGUUGGCGGGGUAACGGCCCACCAAAGCGACGAUCAGUAGCCGGCCUGAGAGGGCGGACGGCCACAUUGGGACUGAGACACGGCCCAGACUCCUACGGGAGGCAGCAGUGGGGGAUAUUGCACAAUGGAGGCAACUCUGAUGCAGCGACGCCGCGUGGGUGAAGAAGUUAUUCGUAAUGUAAAGCCCUAUCAGCAGGGAAGAUAAUGACGGUACCUGACUAAGAAGCCCCGGCUAACUACGUGCCAGCCGCGGC